rnacentral:lncRNA from 1 species
GUGUGUGUGUGUGUGUGUGUGUGUGUUCUAGCAUUUGCUUUCUGUUUCUGCAUUUUUUUUUAAAAUUCUACUUUAGGGGAGGAAAGUGUUCAUUUCAGGUUGUACUUCCGGAUCACAGUCCACCACUGAAGGAAAUCAGGACAGGAAGUCCAGGAAGUGUUUCCCUGGACCAGGAAACUCACUCACAGCUAAGGCAGAGCAGAGGAACUGGAGGGUCCUACAGGCUCAAUCUCAUGGUUAGGUAGACCCUGCCUACUCUUUAAACUAAUUCUUUGAGCAUCUCAUAAGACAUAGUUGAUCCCAUCCCCUCCUCCUCACCCCUCCCAGAUCCACCCUCACCUCUCUAACCCUCAACUUCCCACAACCUCUUGUCUUUUUUUUUUUUUUAAAUGACCCAUGAACUCAAAAGUGUGCUACCCAUACAAACCUGGUGUGAAGUCAUCCACUGAGGUAUGACUGACCUGCCAGGAGCCACAUCCUUAAAGAAAAGUGAUUUUCUUUUUCCCAGAAGUCAAUCAUUCAUUCAGCUAGCUUUCUUAUACAGCCCAGGACCUGUCCAUUGUGUGGCCUUUCUAUAUCAAUUAAGACAAUGUCUGGGGCUGGUGAGAUGGCUGAGCGGGUAAGAGCACCGACUGCUCUUC